rnacentral:lncRNA from 1 species
GUUUUUCAGAGUAAAAGUUGAAGACAAACUAAUGCGCACAAAUUCAGAACACCAUUGAAGUACCUGGACAUCUAGUUCAUUUGCAGCAUUUAACAGAGAUAAAACAUCAUACAUCAUGAAAAUCAAAAAAUUUACAUGAACGUGAAAGUAUUUUUCUAUUUUUGUUUGAUUACAUAAUAUAGGCUCAACAAGACGCUAAAAGAGGAACUAUGGAUGCAGGAGCCAAUUAAAACAGCAAUUACAUGACUUUGACCAUUUUGUACAGGACUACCACCAAAAUGAUAUUACCUGAUUUAAGAUGCUAGUACAAGUCCAUUUAGUGUACAUUUUCUUAGAUUAAUGCGCAGUUUAUAGUCUCAGGGUUAAGAUGUACAUGAGAACAAAAGCAGUAUGGUUAUCUUAUUAAUGUACUUCAACCAAUUCUCAACAUCAACAAAAAAAUUUCCAAUAACAUAAAUGAUUGAAAAGAUAACUCAAUAUUUUAACCACUUACAAGUUUAUGGUGUUCUUGUAAAAAGAUGCAAGAAUUACCAAAUAUUAAAGAAGUAGACUGCAUCUUGAAUUUUCGAUAAAUAAUAGGUGAAAAACCAGAUCAUAUGGUUGAAUGAUAACAAAAAUAAAUAGCCAAAUUUGUGAUAUUUAAGCAAGAAGAGAACAUGUCAUAUGCACAAGCCUAAAAUUUAAUAGCAAUACAUUAGACCAAGUACAAGUUAAAAGCAAUGAGUUUUGUCCACAUGGAUGACUUACUUCAAGUAAAGCCCGCAUGGCUAGUUUGACAGUCUCCUGGCCAGAUGUUUCUUUGUAAUUCUUCUCCAGAAACUCCCGGAUCGAGUUUGAGUUUCUC